GAACUGGUAACUGCUAAUAUUAGAAAUAAGGCGUGACAUCAGAUCUGCUUUGUAUGGCUGAGAGAAGUCAAGGAGACCUAUGACUCAAGGAAACAGCAAGGAUACACAGGUUUAAUCCCUGAUCCGGGAGGAUCCCACACAUCACGGAGCAAUUAAGCCUGUGUGCCACAACUAUUGAGCCUGUGCUCUUGAACCAGGGAACUGCAACUACUCAGCCGACUUGGGGCAACUACUGAAGCCUGUGUGCCCUAGAGCCUGUGCUCCACAACGAGAGGAGCCACCACCACGAGAAGCAACUGCAAUGAAGCCUGCCUACCGCAACUAGAGAAGAGCCUGCGGAGCGAUGACGACCCAGCACAGCCAAAAAUAAAUAAAUCUCACUGCUGUCAUGGCUCAUUUGAGCCUGUUAAGAAAUAUCACUGGAGGGGAGCUUCAUUCCUGAAUUUGAGAGGAGAUAAAUGAACUGAUGAAAACAUUAUUAAAGAAAAGAGAACCAGAAAUGAUGAUCUAGGAAACUAUCAGUCCACCCAGAUGGAAAAGAAUGCUGAAGUUCAGAAAUUCACUAUCACAAAAAUACUCUGGAGAAAAUGCUGAUGGUGUGACCCUAAAAUCCUUCCUAAGAACCUCAGAAGAUCUCUUUGAGAGAUUAAGUCAUUCAGUGGUGUCUGACUCUUUGCGACCCAUGGACUGCAGCCUGCCAUGCUCCUCUGUCCAUGGGGAUUCUCCAGGCAAGAAUACUGGAUUGGGUUGCCAUGCCCUCCUCCAGGGGAUCUUCCCAUCCAGGGAUCGGACCCAGGUCUCCCACAUUGCAGGCAGAUUCUUUACUGACUGAGCCACCAGGGAAGCCUCCUUUGAGAUCCAACCAGUCCGUUCUGAAGGAGAUCAGCCCUGGGAUUUCUUUGGAAGGAAUGAUGCUAAAGCUGAAACUCCAGUACUUUGGCCACCUCAUGCGAAGAGUUGACUCAUUGGAAAAGACUCUGAUGCUGGG
ensembl:lncRNA